UACGUAGGGCGCGAGCGUUUGUCCGGGAAUUAUUGGGCGUAAAGAGCUCGUUAGGCGGGCUUGUCACGUCGGGUGUGAAAGACCGGGGCUUAACUCCGGUUCUGCAUUUCGAUACGGGGGCUAAGCUAGAUGUGUGGGUAGGGGGAGAUUGGAAAUUUCCUGGGUGUAGCGGGUGGGAAAUGCGCAGAUAUCAGGGAGGGAACACC
rnacentral:rRNA from 1 species